GGGGUGCAUGGGGGGCUAUCUGAGCCACCGGUCUAUAACCCUGAGACAGAGGGGUAAGUCUAGCCUGUUUCACAAAGAGGGGUAACUUCAACUCUCGGUCAGUUACCGCAGUAACAGACUCCGUGACUCUAACCUGGUCACCAGCAGGUUUAUCUGAGAAAACCUCCAGUUUCUCUCCGUCUCCGCCCUCUUUCAGCCACACGCUGUUUCAUUUCCUCAUUCAUUCAGUCAGUAAGCGAGCGAGUUUUGGCGUAGAACAGCUUUUAUUAACGAUCCAGUGGAUAAAGGAGCAGCAUUACUGCACAGAUCAUUAAAUAUUCGUCUGUAGAUUGUUAUCAGACCGAGCAUAAAUGUUCUCGCAUUUCCGGACAAUUAUCGGUUUGAGCGGUACCGUUUCAUAAUCGUUUCAAGUCCAUAAUCUACAUAAACAACCUAAUCCGUCCUUACAUUUACAUUACCAACCAGUCAUGCUCUCACAUCCAGCAGAUAUUGUGUGUUGCUGCGGUUCUUUGCAAAUGGAAGUUUUUAUAUGAUGUCGGAGAUGCAGAGUAAGACAACUGUAUGGAGGACAGUCAGAAAAGUUUUCCUGAUCCUGAAACGGCUUUGACUCAUCAUUGUGGUUUUCCUGGACAUAAACCUGUCAGAAGAUCAAGGAGGAUCCACAGGAUUACAGGAUUUCCCAGUGUGAUUGGCUGCAUAGAUGCACACAUCCCCAUCACAGCUCCCUCACAUCAUGAACAGGAAGUCCAUUCACAGCAUAAAUGUGCAGAUCAUCUGUGAUGCUGCAUACAUCAUUUCUAAUGUGGAGGCCACGUGGUCUGGGUCUGUUCAUGACUCCAGGAUUUAUGGAGAGUCUAACCUGAGCAACAGACUGCAGCGUGGAGAGUUUGAUGGCCUUCUGCUGGGUGACAGGGGUUACCAUGACAACCCAGGCUGAUGACCUCAUACCCUGACCCUGAACCAGGCCCCCAACAGAACUUCAACCGGACUCACUGCAGGACCAGAGCCCGGGUGGAGAUGACCAUAGGCCUGCUGAAAGCCCGUUUCCAGAGCCUACGUCUCCUCAGGGUGACCCCUGAGAGGGCCUGUGAUAUUACUGUGGCAUGUGUUGUUCUUCAUAAUAUUACUAUUAGAGGAGAGCAACACCCUGCCCUACAAACUGAAGACCCAGAUGAUGAGCCCAUCCACCUGCAGCUAUCCAGGACAGCAGAGCAGUCAGAGACACCGUAUGCAAUAAUCACUUUAGAGUUUAAGUCUCCAUCAUCACCACCACAGCAAAUAAAGACAUGAUACACAUUU